rnacentral:lncRNA from 1 species
AUGAGAUUACAAGCAAUAGGGAACAAGGAGUCCUCCCAUCCUAUAACAAGUAGAAAGAAGAAAAUUCAAAAAAUGAGCAGUUUUACAAAAAAAAAAUCAUACAGAUCAGAGACUGAAAAUGCAAUUAAAGGCACCAUUGCAGAGGCCCUUUAAUAAAUUUAAAAAAAACAAUAAAAAAAAUAUCCUAUCUCCGGCAAAGCUAAAGAUGACUAAUUUUUCCUUAAAAUUUAAGCAUUACACGUCUGGGCAUUUGAGAAAAUAGAAACCUUAAAGUAGAGGCAUGUAAACGUGGAAAGCCACACAGGUAACAUUACACACAGCUGCCUUUAGGAAUUCUCACCACAAAAAUAAUGUCAGUUUGGUGCAACCUAAUGAAAACUAACAAAAAUUAUCUUUGCAGGCUAUUUGAUGAUAUGAUACAGUCUGAGGCCAUGUGGACAUAAACCAGUUAACGAUAUUAGCAUAAUAAGUACACGUCCAAGUUGUCUGCGAAAAAGGGAGGUGUCAGAAUCUCAUGAAUAUAGAGGAGAAUGGAAAUUUUAGGAAACCUUAACCAAUCUGAACCUGAAUUUGAUAAUCAACGUGGUAUGUGAAAUUGAAUUCCCUCGCUGCAAAUCAUAUGUAAUUGCGGUCUUCAAUUCUUGUGAAUGUUUGAAAAUGCUCUCCAAUUAUUGACCCAGCAAUACUUUCGAGAGGAUUGAAAUUCUGUAGUGUCAUUUUAGCUAUGAGAAAAAAGUAAAUUAAAACAACUAUAUUCAAAAUUAGUCUAACAUAAACAACAAAAGUGUAACAGAUAAGGGUUGAAAAGGUUACAAAUUCUUUCAUGUUAACAAUAUAUCAUGACAGAAGUGCUGCUUGUUUUAAAAAAAAAAAACUUGUCAACUUGAACAACAUAAGAACCAUUGCAACUUUUCUAUUGCUAUCACUUUAUAGACUAGGGUAUUGUUCAUCAAACUUGCAUUAGUUUAUGUGAUAUAGAGCAUUUGAAUGAGCAGUAAAUAUCACUUUAUUAGAACAUUUAUUGGUACUCAAUAUUCAACCUCAUACGAACAGCUGACUACAUGCCACAACCAAGAAAUAUAAAGGGGAAAAAAGAAAUUGCAGGAUCGAGGUAAGAAAAGUCCAGUCAUCGCUUUGAUAUCAAGGGAUUCAAACUAAGAUUAUUACUGUAGACCUAAUUUGAGAAUGGGAAGUGAAUAGCCAAGAAUGUUCAACUCUGCAAUCAGAAAACCCACAAGGUUCAGUUUUGUCAGUGUUGUCUUCUUACUAUAAGCCUCGUGGUGAGUUGAUCAGCAAAAAUGCGUAUGUAAAAGACAACAUAAGUUAUGCAUUCUUGUACCUUCACAACUAAUUAAAAUAUACAUUUAACUACAGUCUAAAAUGCAUUAUAUUUGUUUCAAAACCCCAUAUUUCAUCCAUCCCACUGAUUAGAUGGAAGAGGCUUCAAUGUAUCUUUACUUAUUGUGUGAGAUUUUUAACUCAUGGAAAAAGCAUUGCAAUCGAAUUAGAAUCAUGAGAUUCUAAGCUUUAUUAUCUGGCCGAAUAAUGCCAACAUGUUUUGUUCAUACCAUGCAUAGUCCUCACACAACACCGUGUUAUGGAUUUUAAAUUUUAAACCAUAACUUGAUUUGCCUCUAAUUUACUAGAGUAACUAAGAUGUAUUUGAGCAUAAACCUUUCAACGCUGUGACUACAUUCUUAGAAAGAGAAAAAAGUCUAAUUUCUUAUUUGAAGGAUUUCCUUUGCUUUUGAGCCAAAAUAACAAGAAUUUACUCCAAGUAUGUUUCAGAUAAAGGAGAAGGCAACAAAGUUAGAAGCUAUAAUUUCUAUUAACAGUUGUAGUUUAGCAGGUAAAAAUUGCUUGUAGCCAAGGAGCUAUAGUAACAAAACUAUUUAUAGUUGAUACAAACAAGAAAUUAAAUUGCGAAGUUGUGGAUAGUAUCUGAUAGUUCUGACUUCUGAAGCAUGGUAUGGAAAAAUCUUCAGUUCACGCUCACUUUUAAUGCCUAGUAUGCGUUGUGACAUAGAAAAAAAAAUUAAACUAAUCCCUUCAUGGCAAAAUAUGUGGAAAUUCAGCAAUAUGAAAUUAAACUUCCUAUGCUAGUUGUUUGCCAUAUAUAUGCAAUUUUAGUUUAGGAUAUAAAAUAAGUUUAAAACAAGCCACGGAUGAAUCCUUCUAGGGCUAUGAGCGGCCAGGCCCAAACUGUUCACAUGAGCUGUUAGCCAACCAGAGGCAGCUAUUAUAACAUAUAAGCAAUCAUAUUGGGAUUUCAUCAUAGUAAUUAAAGAAAGCCACUAUUUUAAUAAUUUGAUAACAUUCGUUUGAACUUUGUCAAUUUAGCAUCAACCCACUUUAGCUAGUAAUAUCAUAAUAUGGGAAUGUGAAUCAAUGCAAGUUCAGUUCUUAAGUUAGUAUAGAACAUAAACAAAUAGAAACCACCAAAUUCAAAAGACUAUAUAACUUUGGCUGUGUGCAAUUGAGAAUUGGAUACCUCAAUCAUUGUAACAGCUAGGUAUGUCAUCAAAAAACACAUUUUUACAUACUUCAAAAUAAAGGUAGAAGGUGGGUUUUGAUCACCUGGGAAAACCACUGGAAGCUAGGAGAGGGCGUCAGCGAGGUGGAUGGGUAUUUGAAAAUUUAAAGGUAUUGUGGAUUGGUAGUUACAGUAGAGGAUUUUAUGGAUGAAUUUUUGACUUGGAUGAUAUGUUUGAUGGAGAAUUAGGGUUUCCUUCGGACUGGGAUUCUUCCCAUGGAGUCGGUGGUACGUUUGAUAACACUUAUCUCAACCAUUACACUCUAAAUUAA